rnacentral:rRNA from 1 species
GAUGAACGCUGGCGGCGUGCAUAAUACAUGCAAGUCGAGCGAACAGAUGAGGAGCUUGCUCAUCUGACGAUAGCCGGAGGUGGGGGAGUAACAUGUGGAUAACCUACCUAUAAGACUGGGAACUGUUCGAGAAACUGGAGCAAAUAGCGGAGAAUAUAUUGAACCACUGUGUUCGUUAGUGAAUGCCGGCUUUGAUGUCAAUGAUAGAUGGCUCCGCGCCGCAUUAGAUAGUUGUUAAGGUAACGGCUUACCAAGGCAACUAUGCGUAGCCGACUUGAGAGAUGGAUAGGCCACACUGGAACUGCAACACGGUCCAGACUCCUACGGGAGGCAGCAGUAGGGAAUCUUCCGCAAAGGGCGAAAGCCUGACGGAGCAACGCCGCGUGAGUGAUGAAAGUCUUCGGAUCGUAAAACUCUGUUAUUAGGGAAGAACAAAUGUGUAAGUAACUAUGCACGGCUUGACGGUACCUAAUCAGAAAGCCACGGCUAACUACGUG